rnacentral:rRNA from 1 species
UGAGCAAUCUGCCCUUCUCAUCGGAAUAAGCGUUGGAAACGACGUCUAAUGCCGUAUACGACCUCCUUUCGCAUGAUCGGAGGUGGAAAGCUCCGGCGGAGAAGGAUGAGCUCGCGGCCUAUCAGCUAGUUGGUGUGGGUAACGCCCACAAGGCUUCGACGGGUAGCCGGCCUGAGAGGGCGACCGGCCACACUGGGACUGAGAUACGGCCCAGACUCCUACGGGAGNAGCG